UCUUAAAAUUUUCAUUCUUUUGUACUAUUGAAAAUUAGCGUAACUAAUAGAGUAAACAAAUAGUGACACGUGAUAUGUCACGUGUACUUUACGAUAGUGUAUAAAAAUCAAUUUUCAACAAUAAAUAAAAAUAAAAUUUUUAACA
rfam:Gossypium arboreum cultivar AKA8401 contig_36945_1, whole genome shotgun sequence.